rnacentral:rRNA from 1 species
UAGUUGAACCUUGGGCCUGGCUGGCCGGUCCGCCUCACCGCGUGCACUGGUUCGGCCGGGCUUUUCCCUCUGGGGAGCCCUAUGCCCUUCACUGGGUGUAGUGGGGAACCAGGACUUUUACUGUGAAAAAAUUAGAGUGUUCAAAGCAGGCCUAUGCUCGAAUACAUCAGCAUGGAAUAAUAGAAUAGGACGUGUGGUUCUAUUUUGUUGGUUUCUAGGACCGCCGUAAUGAUUAAUAGGGACAGUCGGGGGCAUCAGUAUUCAAUUGUCAGAGGUGAAAUUCUUGGAUUUAUUGAAGACUAACUACUGCGAAAGCAUUUGCCAAGGAUGUUUUCAUUAAUCAGGAACGAAAGUUAGGGGAUCGAAGACGAUCAGAUACCGUCGUAGUCUUAACCAUAAACUAUGCCGACUAGGGAUCGGACGAUGUUAUUUUUUGACUCGUUCGGCACCUUACGAGAAAUCAAAGUUUUUGGGUUCUGGGGGGAGUAUGGUCGCAAGGCUGAAACUUAAA